rnacentral:rRNA from 1 species
GUGUCCGUGAGAUGUUGGGUUAAGUCCCGCAACGAGCGCAACCCUCGUCUUAUGUUGCCAGCACGUCAUGGUGGGGACUCAUAAGAGACUGCCGGGGUCAACUCGGAGGAAGGUGGGGAUGACGUCAAGUCAUCAUGCCCCUUAUGUCCAGGGCUUCACGCAUGCUACAAUGGCCGGUACAAAGGGCUGCGAUACCGCAAGGUGGAGCGAAUCCCAAAAAGCCGGUCUCAGUUCGGAUUGGGGUCUGCAACUCGACCCCAUGAAGUCGGAGUCGCUAGUAAUCGCAGAUCAGCAACGCUGCGGUGAAUACGUUCCCGGGCCUU